rnacentral:sRNA from 1 species
GCUGGGCGUGGUAGCUCACGCCUGUAAUCCCAGCACUUUGGGAGGCUGAGGUGGCCGGAUCACCUGAGGUCAGGAGUUCAGGAGCAACCUGGGCAACAUGGUAAAACCCCGUCUCUACUAAAAAUGCAAAAAUUAGCUGGGUGUGGUGGCAUGCGCCUGUAGUCGCAGCUACUAGGGAGGCUGAGGCAGGAGCAUCACUUGAACCCGGGAGGUGGAGGUUGCAGUGAGCCGAGAUCACACCACUGCACUCCAGCCUGGCUACAGAGCGAGACUCCGUCAAA